rnacentral:rRNA from 1 species
UACAGAGGUCUCAAGCGUUUGUUCGGAUUCAUUGGGCGUAAAGGGUGCGUAGGCGGCGGGGUAAGUCUGAUGUGAAAUCCCGGGGCUCAACCCCGGAACUGCAUUGGAUACUGCCUUGCUUGAGUACUGGAGAGGAGAUUGGAAUUUACGGUGUAGCAGUGAAAUGCGUAGAUAUCGUAAGGAAGACCAGUGGCGAAGGCGAAUCUCUGGACAGUUACUGACGCUGAGGCACGAAGGCCAGGGGAGCAAACGGG